AUCCAUCCUCUCUCUCCCCAUCGAGUCGAGUGUGUUUGCAUAUCAUCCGUUGUGAGAGGAGUUCCUUCAUUCAUAAGCUCGCUGAUGGCUUCAAACCAUAUCAAGACGGCCGCGCAUGCCCGAGGGGGCGUCCCCAAAUGUCCAUGCGACAACGUGUCUCGUUGGGCCAUGGAACCUGCAGACAAAAUCACUGGCAUCAGCAUUGGCGCUGCUUCAUGCGUAAACUCCAUUAAGAUAACCUUCGACAUCGACGGAACCACUCGCGUAACUCCCAGAUAUGGAGGCCCCGGCGGUGAACUAUUCCAGUUUAGUCUCAUGCAAGAUGAAUACCUCACCUCCGUUUCUGGGUAUGUCAAACACGACUGUUCUGAAUUUCCAUGUGUAUCUCAACUCACGUUUACCACCAAUCUUGGAAAGACAUACGGUCCAUAUGGAGGUGGGGGUGGAACCUUUUUCGAAGUCAACGUAGAAUAUGACGAGAUUAAGGGCUUCUUUGGUCAUGCAACUGAAGAGUAUCUCACUGCAUUUGGAGUCUACGUGAUGCUGGCUUAGCCAACCCUUGUGGAGGGUGUUGACUAUCUAUCUCUAUCUCUGUGUGCCAUGAUGAAUAAGGAUGCCAAUGUCUGUUGCAGGCAUCUAUGUUUGAGUUGGGUGUGUGUUUGAGUAGUGUGAAAUAAAGUCUAUCUUCAUGCA